UACGAAGGGAGCUAGCGUUGUUCGGAAUCACUGGGCGUAAAGCGCACGUAGGCGGAUGUGUCAGUCAGGGGUGAAAUCCCGGAGCUCAACUUCGGAACUGCCUUUGAUACAGCACGUCUUGAGUCCGAUAGAGGUGGGUGGAAUUCCUAGUGUAGAGGUGAAAUUCGUAGAUAUUAGGAAGAACACCGGUGGCGAAGGCGGCCCACUGGAUCGGUACUGACGCUGAGGAGCGAAAGCCAGGGGAGCAAACGGG
rnacentral:rRNA from 1 species